GGGAGGAGCCCUGUCUCUCCCCACCCCACUCCCCGACUCCCACACACACCCCUGCACACUCGGAGGCAAGGCCACCUGAGACUAAGUGGUUGUCUUCAAGCUAGGAAAACAAUCCUCAGAAGAAACAGCACACUGCCAGGCCUUGAUCUGGGACUUCAAGCCUCCAGAACUGUUCACCUCAUUCUUUCUGUUUUCCCACACCAUUUGGCUAAGAAGACGCUGGGUCGCUGAGCCUACAGCUCCCACGGUCUGCUGACUACAGAGCCGGCCCCUGAAUCUCCUGUUCCCGUGGUUAGAUCUAGGGGCUUGAUGGGAAACAUAUGUAAAUACCACUUCUUCCUGGAUUCCUCCCACAUCUGGGGAGGCCUCCCUCCUUGGUGUUCCUCUCCCCUCCACAGCAGGGCCCAGUUUCUUCCUCUGCCUCCCACCAGACUGUUUCCAGGCUCCCGACAGGCAGGGCCCUGUCCCCAGCAAAGCCCAGUGUCCUGUACGCAGUGGGGCCUCAGGAGGCAUGCAGGAAGGACAAAUGUCACACCCUGAGCCCAGAGGCUUAUCUCACCCUUCAGCUGCCAGAGCCUUGGGCUUCCGAGCAGGGGCUGAACAUCUGAACCUGCCCUUCACACCGGGGUGGGGGGAGGGGGCGCAGAGUGGGCCGGGGCACCGGCAGGAGGCCACAAUAAAUUGGCCCAACUCCAAACAGGGCCCAGGCACCAUCCGAGCUGCCGAAGAAGAAUCCAAGACACCUGCACACCCCUGCUUCCCCCAGAUUUUCCAGGGCCCUGCUUCUCUGAUC
ensembl:lncRNA